rfam:Pongo abelii chromosome 6.
UAUUAGGUUGGUGCAAACGUAAUUGUGGUUUUUGACAUUGAAAGUAAUGGCAAAAACUGCAAUUAUGUUUGCACCAACAUAAUA